UACGUAGGGUGCAAGCGUUGUCCGGAAUUAUUGGGCGUAAAGAGCUCGUAGGCGGUCUGUCACGUCGGCUGUGAAAACCCGGGGCUCAACCCCGGGCCUGCAGUCGAUACGGGCAGACUAGAGUGCGGUAGGGGAGACUGGAAUUCCUGGUGUAGCGGUGGAAUGCGCAGAUAUCAGGAGGAACACCGGUGGCGAAGGCGGGUCUCUGGGCCAUAACUGACGCUGAGGAGCGAAAGCGUGGGGAGCGAACAGG
rnacentral:rRNA from 1 species